rnacentral:rRNA from 1 species
AUGAAUCUUGAUAAUGAUGGGACUGAAUAUGAUCCACCUUUACCUAGAAUGCAUUCCAAAAAUUCGGAGUUUUUAGAUCUUGAUGCUAAAAUUGAUAAAAGUGGGAUUGAAGAGAUCAAAACUCUAGAUGUUAAUGAACCUACUAUUUUGGAUUUCAAGGAAUUUAAUUAUGAUAGCUGCUCUUUGAUAGAUUGUAUUUCCUUGUUGCAAUCCGUGCUAAAAUCUCCUCAUGCUUAUAGUCAAAAUAAAGCUUUUACCAAACAUAUCGUUGAUGCCUUGAUGCAAUCUUAUGAAGAAAAACUUGAGUCGGAAGUUUCUAUCCCUAGAAAACUUUAUGAUGAGUGGGAACCUACUAUUAAAAUUAAAAUUAAAGAUCAUGAAUGCUAUGCUUUGUGUGAUUUGGGUGCUAGUGUUUCCACAAUUCCAAAGACUUUAUGUGAUUUGCUAGGUUUCCAUGAUUUUGAUGAUUGCUCUCUAAAUUUGCACCUUGCGGAUUCCACUAUUAAGAAACCUAUGGGAAGAAUUAAUGAAGUUCUUAUUGUUGCAAAUAGGAAUUAUGUGCCCGUAGAUUUUAUCGUUCUUGAUAUAGAUUGCAAUCCUUCAUGUCCUAUUAUUCUUGGUAGACCUUUCCUUAGAACGAUUGGUGCAAUUAUUGAUAUGAAGGAAGGAAAUAUUAGAUUCCAAUUUCCAUUAAAGAAAGGCAUGGAACACUUUCCUAGGAAUAAAAUAAAAAUACCUUAUGAAUCUAUUAUGAGAGCCACUUAUGGAUUGCCUACCAAAGAUGACAAUACCUAG